AUACGUAGGUGGCGAGCGUUGUCCGGAAUUACUGGGCGUAAAGGGUGCGUAGGCGGAUAAUCAAGUCAGAUGUGAAAGUCCAUGGCUUAACUGUGGGAGUGCAUUUGAGACUGAUGAUCUAGAGUGCAGGAGAGGGAAGCGGAAUUCCUAGUGUAGCGGUGAAAUGCGUAGAUAUUAGGAAGAACACCAGUGGCGAAGGCGGCUUUCUGGACUGUAACUGACGCCGAAGCACGAAAGCGUGUGGAGCAAACAGGAUUAGAUACCCUGGUAGUCCACGCCGUAAACGAUGAGUAUUAGGUGUAGGGGACGAUAGUCUUCUGUGCCGGAGCAAACGCAAUAAAUACUCCGCCUGGGGAGUACGGUCACAAGACUAAA
rnacentral:rRNA from 1 species